GGUGGCCUUGGGCCAGCCCUUUCCUCUCUUCUUCUUUAGGAAGAAGGCAACGGCAAACCAUUUUCCAAAAUCUUUUGGCAAAAAAAAAAAACCCACAAGGACGAGUUCAUGUAGUCAUCAGCAAUCCACACCAACUUAAACUACAAAUACUAAAUAAAAUAGUCAACUUUUCCAAGAGCUUCUGAUAGACUCUGGUUUGAAAUAGGACACUGAGAAGAGCAGAAUGGGUUUGUCUCUCUGAUCUAGGAGGAAAGGUUCACCGACAAAUGGGCGCAUGACAAAAGCGCGGCAAGAAAACUGCGAGGUCGAAAUCACUCCCACAACAGCACGCCGACAAAAGGGCGCCAUCAACAAACAACGUGAAAACAAGCCCACUUCUUCUCUUAGUCCCGGCCGGAUUACCAAACUGCACUGCGUCAGAAUAAAAAGGAAUCACAGAGACCUUCCUAAGCAGGAGGAGAUAGCAGCCUGCUGAUAGAAAAGAUAGAAAAGCCGAGCCGAGCAGCUGGGCUGCAUAUAUCACUGAAAGAGGAGAACGAAGGCUCGGGAAGGCUUGCCGAUUCAGCCCAAGCGGAGCCAUCUGGUGAGCCAGACAACUCAGCAGAAUUAUUCACAGAAAGAUUCUGUGACCAAACACAGAAACAAAACUGCUGUAUUCAAAGAGGUAAGAGAAGACUAGAAGGACAAGAUGAGCAA